rnacentral:rRNA from 1 species
CGUAGGGUGCGAGCGUUGUCCGGAAUUAUUGGGCGUAAAGAGCUCGUAGGCGGUGUGUCACGUCGGUCGUGAAAACUUGGGGCUUAACUCUGAGCUUGCGGUCGAUACGGGCAUCACUUGAGUUCGGCAGGGGAGACUGGAAUUCCUGGUGUAGCGGUGAAAUGCGCAGAUAUCAGGAGGAACACCGGUGGCGAAGGCGGGUCUCUGGGCCGAUACUGACGCUGAGGAGCGAAAGCGUGGGAGCGAACAGGAUU